GCCUGUGUGGCUCAGUCGGUUGAGCGUCGGACUUCAGCUCAGGUCAUGAUCUCACGGUUUGUGGGUUUGAGCCCCACAUUGGGCU
rnacentral:tRNA from 1 species